AUGGAACAAUGUAGGCAAGGGAAGUCGGCAAAACGGAUCCGUAACUUCGGGAAAAGGAUUGGCUCUGAGGACUGGGCUCGGGGGUCCCGGCCCCGAACCCGUCGGCUGUCGGCGGAUUGCUCGAGCUGCUCACGCGGCGAGAGCGGGUCGCCGCGUGCCGGCCGGGGGACGGACCGGGAAUCGCCCCUUCGGGGGCUUUCCCCGAGCAUGAAACAAUCGACUCAGAACUGGUACGGACAAGGGGAAUCCGACUGUUUAAUUAAAACAAAGCAUUGCGAUGGUCCUCGCGGAUGCUGA
rnacentral:rRNA from 1 species